CCCGCACAAGCGGUGGAGCAUGUGGUUUAAUUCGAUGCAACGCGAAGAACCUUACCAGGCCUUGACAUCCAGAGAACAAAGCAGAGAUGCAUUGGUGCCUUCGGGAACUCUGAGACAGGUGUUGCAUGCCUGUCGUCAGCUCGUGUCGUGAGAUGUUGGGUUAAGUCCCGCAACGAGCGCAACCCUUAUCCUUACUUGCCAGCACUUCGGGUGGGAACUUUAAGGAGACUGCCGGUGACAAACCGGAGGAAGGUGGGGAUGACGUCAAGUCAUCAUGGCCCUUACGGCCUGGGCUACACACGUGCUACAAUGGACAGUACAGACGGUUGCCAAACCGCGAGGUGGAGCUAAUCUGAGAAAGCUGUUCGUAGUCCGGAUUGCACUCUGCAACUCGAGUGCAUGAAGUCGGAAUCGCUAGUAAUCGCGAAUCAGAAUGUCGCGGUGAAUACGUUCCCGGGUCUUGUACACACUGCCCGUCACACCAUGGGAGUGGGUUGCACCAGAAGUAGCUAGCUUAUUAGGGCGGUUACCACGGUGUGAUUCAUGACUGGGGUGAAGUCGUAACAAGGUAACC
rnacentral:rRNA from 1 species